AUUGAACGCUGGCGGCAGGCUUAACACAUGCAAGUCGAGCGAGCGGCGGACGGGUGAGUAAUGUCUGGGAAACUGCCUGAUGGAGGGGGAUAACUACUGGAAACGGUAGCUAAUACCCCAUACCAUCAGAUGUGCCCAGAUUGGAUUAGCUAGUAGGUGGUGUAAUGGCUAACCUAGGCGACGAUCCCUAUCUGGUAUGAGAGGAUGACCAGCCACACUGGAACUGAGACACUGUCCAGACUCCUAGGGGAGGCAGCAGUGGGGAAUAUGGCACAAUGGGCGCAAGCCUGAUGCAGCAAUGCCGCGUGUGUGAAGAAGGCCUUCGGGUUGUAAAGCACUUUCAGCGAGGAGGCGUUACUCGCAGAAGAAGCACCGGCUAACUCCGUACCAGCAGCCGCGGUAAUUC
rnacentral:rRNA from 1 species